rnacentral:rRNA from 1 species
CCCUUAGAUGUUCUGGGCCGCACGCGCGCUACACUGACGAAGUCAGCGAGCAUGUCCUACGCCGACAGGUGCGGGGAAUCUUGUCAAACUUCGUCGAGAUGGGGAUUGAUUAUUGAAAUUCUUGAUCAUCAACGAGGAAUUCCUAGUAAGCGCAAGUCAGCAGCUUGCGUUGAUUACGUCCCUGCCCUUUGUACACACCGCCCGUCGCUACUACCGAUUGAAUGGUUUAGUGAGAUCUUCGGAUUGGCGCCACUGCGGCUCAGCAAUGGGCUCGGUGGAUGCCGAAAAGUUGAUCAAACUUGAUCAUUUAGAGGAAGUAAAAGUCGUAACA